GCCUAUGUGCAACAAAGUGAGAAAAUGUCACAAAGUUUGGAAAGCGCUUCAGCUUUAUCAGAACCCCCCCCCCCCAACUACAGUUAAUUUACUCUGCACCUGCAAACAGUUACAGAAAUGAAAACACCAUUGUAAUUGUGGUUUACUCCCCAGUUAUCUAACAGGAGCAGGGCAGGCUGCAGCCCUAGAGAGAUCAUUGGCCCAGCGUGCCCCAGUGCUAGUUCAGCCUGCUGUGACAGACAGCUGCCAAGUCAGGCUGGGACGUGCCAGGGAGACGGAGGCAAGAAGCAGCAGGGAGCUCUGGCUCUCAUCUUGUGCCUCCAGAAAAGGGGCAGAACACAACCUCGGUGAGAACAGCCUUGGAUCUUGACUGAAGAAGGAACACUUUUCCAGCAUCAUACCAAAACCAGAAGACAAUGUUGCCGUUCCUUCUGAAGAACACAGCUAUGCUUUACAGAGCCUUGAAAGGAACAGAAGCUUGCCUGCACAGUCCUCCUUGCUAAAAUCUUACAGAUGAUCCUGCAUUCUUCAUUGCAAAUUUUAACUGAUGGAGGCGUGGUCACUACAGUCAACAUGUGGCUAGUGCCAAUGAAGUUUCAUUUAAUGUCGAAAGGACUCUGACGACCUCAGAUGGACUGCUUCCAGUCUUCUGUAUUGUUCUAUGAUGAAGUCUCAAGGGUGUUUGCGUUUUGUGCAAUUUUUACUGUUUAGGCACCUUAUGACUCCUUGUCCUACUUCUACAGCUAAGAUUCUCUCUACAUUUUACCGUCCUUGCUCUGCCAACAUAUGCAGGUUCCCCCCCCCUAAAUUAAUCCAGCUUUACUCCAUUUUGCAAGAUUCGGAGACUAGCAGAAACAAGUCAUUAUGAUUCUUCAGUUAUGCUCACCGAAUAAAACAAACUAUGAUCUCUA